rnacentral:rRNA from 1 species
CUCGUAGGCGGUUCGUCGCGUCCGGUGUAAAAGUCCAUCGCUUAACGGUGGAUCCGCGCCGGGUACGGGCGGGCUUGAGUGCGGUAGGGGAGACUGGAAUUCCCGGUGUAACGGUGGAAUGUGUAGAUAUCGGGAAGAACACCAAUGGCGAAGGCAGGUCUCUGGGCCGUCACUGACGCUGAGGAGCGAAAGCGUGGGGAGCGAACA